GACGAACGCUGGCGGCGUGCUUAACACAUGCAAGUCGAACGGAAAUGCCCUGCUUGUGUGGGGUGCUCGAGUGGCGAACGGGUGAGUAACACGUGAGUAACCUGCCCUUGACGUUGGGAUAACUUCAGGAAACUUGGGCUAAUACCGGAUAGGUGAUCCUGCUGCAUGGUGAUGGUUGGAAAGGUUCGGCGGUUGUGGAUGUACUCGCGGCUUAUCAGCUUGUUGGUUGGGUAGUGGCUUACCAAGGCUUUGUCGGGUAGCCGGCCUGAGAGGGUGACCGGCCACCUUGGGACUGAGAUACGGCACGGACUCCUACGGGAGGCAGCAGUGGGGAAUAUUGCACAAUGGGCGGAAGCCUGAUGCAGCACCGCCGCGUGCGGGAUGACGGCCUUCGGGUUGUAAACCGCUUUCGCCUGUGACGAAGCGUGAGUGAAGGUAAUGGAUAAAGAAGCACCGGCUAACUACGUG
rnacentral:rRNA from 1 species